rnacentral:rRNA from 1 species
AACGUAGGUGGCAAGCGUUAUCCGGAAUUACUGGGCGUAAAGGGUGUGCAGGCGGGGGAACAAGUGGUGUAUGAAAUCGCUCGGCUUAACCGGGCGCGGUUAUGCCAGACUGUUCUUCUAGAGGACGAGAGAGGGGGGUGGAAUUCCGGGUGUAGUGGUGAAAUGCGUAGAGAUCCGGAGGAACCCCAGAGGCGAAGGCGGCCCCCUGGCUCGUACCUGACGCUCAGCCACGACAGCAUGGGGAGCGAACGGG